rnacentral:rRNA from 1 species
AACGCGAAGAACCUUACCUGGGUUUGACAUACACCGGAAACCUGCAGAGAUGUAGGCCCCCUUGUGGUCGGUGUACAGGUGGUGCAUGGCUGUCGUCAGCUCGUGUCGUGAGAUGUUGGGUUAAGUCCCGCAACGAGCGCAACCCUAUCUUAUGUUGCCAGCGCGUAAUGGCGGGGACUCGUGAGAGACUGCCGGGGUCAACUCGGAGGAAGGUGGGGACGACGUCAAGUCAUCAUGCCCCUUAUGUCCAGGGCUUCACACAUGCUACAAUGGCCGGUACAGAGGGCUGCGAUACCGUGAGGUGGAGCGAAUCCCUUAAAGCCGGUCUCAGUUCGGAUCGGGGUCUGCAACUCGACCCCGUGAAGUUGGAGUCGCUAGUAAUCGCAGAUCAGCAACGCUGCGGUGAAUACGUUCCCGGGCCUUGUACACACCG